CGACCGCGCGAGAAACGCUCGGGGCACUUACUCCUGGGGGCGGAGGAGGCCCCGCGCCCUCCACUCCAAGGGCCUCGCAGGAGGAAGGUCUUCGUCCCACUGUUUAGGACUUGGCCUUACACAAGAGAAGCCUUGCUCGGGAGCCUUCCGAGGAUUUUAAAUCCUCCUGGGGCAGGGUUAGGCCUGGGGCUGGCUUCGAGGUCUCGGGUUUUGAGACGCCAGGGAGGAAUUCUCAGACUGAGGCCGCACGCUUUCCGAGCGCGCUUCCCGGCGUGUGCGCGUCGGUGAGGGGCUAUCUGCAGGCGCGAGUGCACAAAAGGUAGCGCGAGUCUCUUCCCAGGCGACUCGAGAUAAGAGGAAACGAGAGCGGGGUUUUCUGACUUCCAACUCAUUAGGGACCAGACCAGGCCUACAGGAGAGGAAAAAGCAGAAAACCCACCUGCCUCACUGCUUCUGUGCCAAGUCCAGGAAUGGUGUUUGCCCUGCUACACUUGUGAGCCAGCAACAAAGGAGGAGGCCAUCAGAAGUCAAGGGCAGCCCACUCGGUCAUCCUCAAGCUUUUAGAAGGAAAACUGCCCAGUCAGCGGCAAUUUAG
rnacentral:lncRNA from 1 species